AUGGAAGGGCCAUCGCUCAACGGAUAAAAGGUACUCCGGGGAUAACAGGCUGAUACCGCCCAAGAGUUCAUAUCGACGGCGGUGUUUGGCACCUCGAUGUCGGCUCAUCACAUCCUGGGGCUGAAGCCGGUCCCAAGGGUAUGGCUGUUCGCCAUUUAAAGUGGUACGCGAGCUGGGUUUAGAACGUCGUGAGACAGUUCGGUCCCUAUCUGCCGUGGACGUUUGAGAUUUGAGAGGGGCUGCUCCUAGUACGAGAGGACCGGAGUGGACGAACCUCUGGUGUUCCGGUUGUCACGCCAGUGGCAUUGCCGGGUAGCUAUGUUCGGGAAAGAUAACCGCUGAAAGCAUCUAAGCGGGAAACUUGCCUCAAGAUGAGAUCUCACUGGAACCUUGAGUUCCCUGAAGGGCCGUCGAAGACUACGACGUUGAUAGGUUGGGUGUGUAAGCGCUGUGAGGCGUUGAGCUAACCAAUACUAAUUGCCCGUGAGGCUUGACCAUAUAACACCCAAGCAAUU
rnacentral:rRNA from 1 species